rnacentral:rRNA from 1 species
AGCAUGAACUUAGCUUGCUAAGUUUGAUGGCGACCGGCGCACGGGUGAGUAACACGUAUCCAACCUGCCGAUGACUCGGGGAUAGCCUUUCGAAAGAAAGAUUAAUACCCGAUGGCAUAGUUCUUCCGCAUGGUAGAACUAUUAAAGAAUUUCGGUCAUCGAUGGGGAUGCGUUCCAUUAGGUUGUUGGCGGGGUAACGGCCCACCAAGCCUUCGAUGGAUAGGGGUUCUGAGAGGAAGGUCCCCCACAUUGGAACUGAGACACGGUCCAAACUCCUACGGGAGGCAGCAGUGAGGAAUAUUGGUCAAUGGACGAGAGUCUGAACCAGCCAAGUAGCGUGAAGGAUGACUGCCCUAUGGGUUGUAAACUUCUUUUAUACGGGAAUAAAGUGAGGCACGUGUGCCUUUUUGUAUGUACCGUAUGAAUAAGGAUCGGCUAACUCCGUGCCAGCAGCCGCGGUAAUACGGAGGAUCCGAGCGUUAUCCGGAUUUAUUGGGUUUAAAGGGAGCGUAGGCGGACGCUUAAGUCAGUUGUGAAAGUUUGCGGCUCAACCGUAAAAUUGCAGUUGAUACUGGGUGUCUUGAGUACAGUAGAGGCAGGCGGAAUUCGUGGUGUAGCGGUGAAAUGCUUAGAUAUCACGAAGAACUCCGAUUGCGAAGGCAGCCUGCUGGACUGUAACUGACGCUGAUGC